rnacentral:rRNA from 1 species
AACGAACGCUGGCGGCAUGCCUAACACAUGCAAGUCGAACGAGACCUUCGGGUCUAGUGGCGCACGGGUGCGUAACGCGGGGGAACCUGCCCUUAGGCUCGGAAUAACUCCCCGAAAGGGGUGCUAAUACCGGAUAAUGUCUGCGGACCAAAGAUUUAUCGCCUUUGGAUGGGCCCGCGUUGUAUUAGCUAGUUGGUAGGGUAAAAGCCUACCAAGGCGACGUUCCAUAGCUGGUCUGAGAGGAUGAUCAGCCACACUGGGACUGAGACACAGCCCAGACUCCUACGGGAGGCAGCAGUGGGGAAUAUUGGACAAUGGGCGAAAGCCUGAUCCAGCAAUGCCGCGUGAGUGAUGAAGGCCUUAGGGUUGUAAAGCUCUUUUACCCGGGAUGAUAAUGACAGUACCGGGAGAAUAAGCUCCGGCUAACUCCGUG